AUGAUGGAGCACAAUUGUACAGAGCUUUGCCGUGACGGCGAGGAAUCGAGUACGGUGUUCCGUUGAUGCCUCCCGAAGGUACGAUCAAGUCGCAAAUGAUCGCACUUCCUUGUAACUAUGUCAUUCUGCUGUGUCAAAGGUGCACUCAGAGCGCUAAAAUUAAAGCUCAUUAAACCUCUAUGGAAACCAGGCUGGGACGGGAAUGCAUUCAUGUUAAAGAAAUUAAUAAAAGGAGGUAGUGUA